GCGGCAAUAUCUCAGUGGUGGAGCCCCCGCUUUGCGUGCGGGAAGACUCGGGUUCUAUUCCCGGCUGCUUCC
rfam:Toxocara canis scaffold167, whole genome shotgun sequence.